rnacentral:rRNA from 1 species
AGAGUUUGAUCCUGGCUCAGGACGAACGCUGGCGGCGUGCUUAACACAUGCAAGUCGAACGAUGAAGCCCUUCGGGGUGGAUUAGUGGCGAACGGGUGAGUAACACGUGGGCAAUCUGCCCUUCACUCUGGGACAAGCCCUGGAAACGGGGUCUAAUACCGGAUAACACCGGCUCCUGCAUGGGAGCUGGUUAAAAGCUCCGGCGGUGAAGGAUGAGCCCGCGGCCUAUCAGCUUGUUGGUGGGGUAAUGGCCUACCAAGGCGACGACGGGUAGCCGGCCUGAGAGGGCGACCGGCCACACUGGGACUGAGACACGGCCCAGACUCCUACGGGAGGCAGCAGUGGGGAAUAUUGCACAAUGGGCGAAAGCCUGAUGCAGCGACGACGCGUGAGGGAUGACGGCCUUCGGGUUGUAAACCUCUUUCAGCAGGGAAGAAGCGAAAGUGACGGUACCUGCAGAAGAAGCGCCGGCUAACUACGUGCCAGCAGCCGCGGUA